CAUGAAGUAGCAAUACUUUGAUGGCGACCGGCAAACGGGUGCGGAACACGUACACAACCUUCCUUCGAGUGGGGAAUAGCCCAGAGAAAUUUGGAUUAAUACCCCGUAACAUAACGAUGUGGCAUCACAUUGUUAUCAUAGCUUCGGCGCUUAAAGAUGGGUGUGCGUAUGAUUAGAUAGUUGGCGAGGUAACGGCUCACCAAGUCUACGAUCAUUAGCUGAUGUGAGAGCAUGAUCAGCCACACGGGCACUGAGACACGGGCCCGACUCCUACGGGAGGCAGCAGUAAGGAAUAUUGGUCAAUGGACGAAAGUCUGAACCAGCCAUGCCGCGUGAAGGAUUAAGGUCCUCUGGAUUGUAAACUUCUUUUAUAUGGGACGAAAAAAGGUCUUUCUAGAUCCCUUGACGGUACCAUAUGAAUAAGCACCGGCUAACUCCGUGCCAGCAGCCGCGGUAAUACGGAGGGUGCAAGCGUUAUCCGGAUUCACUGGGUUUAAAGGGUGCGUAGGCGGGUAGGUAAGUCAGUGGUGAAAUCCUGGAGCUUAACUCCAGAACUGCCAUUGAUACUAUCUAUCUUGAAUAUUGUGGAGGUAAGCGGAAUAUGUCAUGUAGCGGUGAAAUGCUUAGAUAUGACAUAGAACACCCAUUGCGAAGGCAGCUUACUACGCAUAUAUUGACGCUGAGGCACGAAAGCGUGGGGAUCAAACAGGAUUAGAUACCCUGGUAGUCCACGCCCUAAACUAUGGAUACUCGACAUAUGCGAUACACUGUAUGUGUCUGAGCGAAAGCAUUAAGUAUCCCACCUGGGAAGUACGUUCGCAAGAAUGAAACUCAAAGGAAUUGGCGGGGGUCCGCACAAGCGGUGGAGUAUGUGGUUUAAUUCGAUGAUACGCGAGGAACCUUACCUGGGCUAGAAUGCU
rnacentral:rRNA from 1 species